GUAGGUGAACCUGCGGAAGGAUCAUUAAUGAAACUUCAAAGUUGGCCAAAGGUUGUUGCUGGUGAUUCGCUUCACAUGUGCACACUUUUGGUCGCAAUCCACACACACCUGUGCAUCUAUGACUCGAGGUUGUAAUGACUGAGAGUAACUUUUACACACUCUUGUAUGUAAUGGAAUGUCUUUUGUGCUAUAAUGUACAAUAUAAACAACUUUCAACAACGGAUCUCUUGGCUCUC
rnacentral:misc_RNA from 1 species